rnacentral:lncRNA from 1 species
GUCAUUAUUUUCCUAGGUACGUGCAAAUGAAGAUGUGGCUCCCACCCACGGGACUGGAGGAAAUCAACAAGGGCGGAAGUACAGGAGAGACAGAGAUGUCUGAGGACUGCGCCCCGCCACUCUCAGGUGAGAGGCGGCAGGCAAGAGCCCUGAGGCCACAGAGACGUGCUGUCCUCGAAGGGAGGGAGUGCCCACCUGUGCCAGUCAUGGCGGGCGGGUCAAGGAGGAUGCACGCUCAGAGCCGACCACGGGUUCAACCUUCCCACGUCAUUGCUCACCCUGGUGAGAGCAUGGAACAGACUGGAGUAGGUUCCAGAGAGUGCAGGAAGAGGGGAAUUGGAGACCAUGAGGACAGACACUUCUUUUGAAAGAUUUUGCUGUAAAGUGCCAUCAACACAGGGUCCCAAGAGUUCUCAGCCACAUCAGCUCCAAGAAGAACUUGUUUCAUUGAGGAUUUAGGGGAACUGUCUCAUUGGCGAAGAGAAGUUCUCCUCCCCCUGCCCCGAUGUGACUCGUUAAGGUUUGGGGUGCCCUGGCUCUUGGAGCUUUCAUCUAUGGUCUAAACCUUGAACACCAUAAACAUUAGGUUGGCAGUUCUUGGAGCUUGGGUAACUGCAUGCACAUGCCUUGUUCACACAUGUCCCAGUAUUUUUACUUACUCUGUUGAGGGAGUUUAUUCUUUCCUUUGAA